GGGCGGGCGGGGCAGGGGGGGUGUUGUAGUAUGAUGAGGGGUAGCCCCUCACAUUACAAAGUGGGACUGCACCCUGAAUGCUGAAAUCUAGUGAAUAUGACAUUGACACCACUUGCAUAUAUUGGCAGGACCGCAGGAGAGACAUUGCUUACACCUUUUGUCUUAAAACUAUAUUUUAUAUGUCACAAUUCUGGAGACCUUGCACUCUUUAGCUCAAUAUCACAAAACCUGGGCUCAUCAACUAGACCAAGCUAGGAGUUCAGAUUGAAAAGAAGACACAAUGCGAUAUCUUGCCUCUCAUUCCAUCUAAGGCGAUCCUAUCUGAUGAAAAAUCACAACUGGGUUGGGUGGAAAACAUUAUCAAUUUAAUAAACCAAUUGAGCAAUUGAUAAAUUGAAUCUACAGAAUAUAUAAUAAAAGUAAAAAGAUCUCUGUAAAUGCAUAAAGAUGGAUAUCUAACACCAGUCAAUAUCACAGCAAUAUUGGGCAACUGAUUUUGGCAGAUCCAUCCAAAUUUACUCAUAGUCCAAUAUAUAAUAGCAAGGUUGUAAUACAAUAGGAAAAAGAUAAAUAUCAAGUUCAUAGAUGGUAAGACCAUACCGAGUGCAAGAAGCUAGCCAAU
rnacentral:misc_RNA from 1 species